AACGAACGCUGGCGGCAGGCCUAACACAUGCAAGUCGAACGCACCGCAAGGUGAGUGGCGCACGGGUGAGUAACACGUGGGAAUGUACCCUUUGGUUCGGAAUAACGUCUGGAAACGGACGCUAAUACCGGAUGAGCCCUGCGGGGGAAAGAUUUAUCGCCAAAGGAGCAGCCCGCGUCUGAUUAGCUAGUUGGUGGGGUAAAGGCCUACCAAGGCGACGAUCAGUAGCUGGUCUGAGAGGAUGAUCAGCCACACUGGGACUGAGACACGGCCCAGACUCCUACGGGAGGCAGCAGUGGGGAAUAUUGGACAAUGGGCGAAAGCCUGAUCCAGCCAUGCCGCGUGAGUGAUGAAGGCCUUCGGGUUGUAAAGCUCUUUCGCACGCGACGAUGAUGACGGUAGCGUGAGAAGAAGCCCCGGCUAACUUCGUGCCAGCCGCCGCGGUAACAC
rnacentral:rRNA from 1 species